AUUGAACGCUGGCGGCAGGCCUAACACAUGCAAGUCGAACGAGUGGCGGACGGGUGAGUAAUGUCUGGGAAACUGCCUGAUGGAGGGGGAUAACUACUGGAAACGGUAGUUAAUACCGCAUACCAUCGGAUGUGCCCAGAGGGGAUUACCCAGUAGGGGGGGUAAAGGCUCACCUAGGCGACGAUCCCUAGCUGGUCUGAGGGGAUGACCGGCGACACGGGAACUUGGACACGGUCCAGACUCCUACGGGAGGCAGCAGGGGGGAGUAUUGGACAAUGGGCGCAAGCCUGAUGCAGCCAUGCCGCGUGUAUGGUGGAGGCCUUCGGGUUGUGGGGUACUUUCCGCGGGGAGGCGUUACCCGCAGAAGAAGCACCGGCUAACUCCGUGCCAGCAGCCGCGGUAAUAC
rnacentral:rRNA from 1 species